rnacentral:rRNA from 1 species
AGUCCAGACUCCUACGGGAGGCAGCAGUGGGGAAUAUUGGGCAAUGGGCGCAAGCCUGACCCAGCAACGCCGCGUGAAGGAAGAAGGCUUUCGGGUUGUAAACUUCUUUUAUGAGGGACGAAACAAAUGACGGUACCUCAUGAAUAAGCCACGGCUAACUACGUGCCAGCAGCCGCGGUAAUACGUAGGUGGAAAGCGUUAUCCGGAUUUACUGGGUGUAAAGGGCGUGUAGGCGGGAGAGCAAGUCAGAAGUGUAAUUCCAGGGCUCAACCCUGGAACUGCGUUUGAAACUGUUCUUCUUGAGUGAUGGAGAGGCAGGCGGAAUUCCGUGUGUAGCGGUGAAAUGCGUAGAUAUACGGAGGAACACCAGUGGCGAAGGCGGCCUGCUGGGCAUUAACUGACGCUGAGGCGCGAAAGCGUGGGGAGCAAACAGGAUUAGAUACCCCCGUAAGA